CUCAUAAUUACUAUGUUAAAAAUUUAGACGAAAAUUUAUAUCAGUAAAAUUUUCAAAAAGAAAAAAAUGUAUUGCAGUUAAGCUUUCGCCAAACUUCUUUUUUCCUGCUCUCCCGUUGUUGUCAAACAGCAUCUGCGAAAUAUUUGUAAUAGGGAAGAUUUGAUAAAAUUUCUAAUCUGCAUUGAAAUUUAUUCAUGGUGCCAUUUUUGUUAUUUUGAUUUCAUAACAUUUGCUUAUGGCCGCGGCAGUAGCUGUAAUCAGCAAAGAGAAUUAUCCUUUAUAUGUUAAAACAUGCUCCCCUGGAAAUGAUUUAAAGUUUUUGUACACUAUUCACACAUCUCUCGAUGUGAUUGAAGAGAAAGUUCUGACUGUCAACAAAGCUGCUUCUGACCUUAGAGAACUCUACCUUGGUUUGUUGUAUCCUACUGAGGAUUAUAAAGUGUAUGGCUAUGUUACCAACACUAAAAUUAAAUUUAUUGUUGUUGUUGAAUCAUCUCAUACUACUUUAAGAGAUAAUGAAAUUCGCCAGAUGUUUCGAAGAAUACAUACAGGUUAUGCUGAUAUGGUUUGCAAUCCUUUUUAUACAGCUGGAGAAGUUAUUUCUUCAAAGAGAGAUAAGCAGAAGAAAUUGAGGUACCAAAGGGUUGCCACGAACAACAGCAAAUAGAUGAGAGGGAAAAUUGAAAUGAAAAAGAGAUCAAUAGUGAAAAAUAUGUUCCUUUUUUAUAUUCUUAAGAAUGGUUUCUGAAAUAAGAUUCUAAUUAAAGUGUCCUUUGAAGCUAUCAUAAAAAGCAUAAUGUCUACUGAAUAAUUAUGUAUAGCUGUAAUAUCUGAAGAAAAAUGCUUUGUAUUACUUUGCAUUCUAAAUUUAAUUUUAUAAGUUAAUUUGUGAGGAGAAAAGUUGUUUCUAUAUGAUUCAUACAUAUAUAUAACUGAUUUAUUAUAUAUUAAAAUCUAUUCAUAUUCAUAAUUAAGAAAGUUAAAUAUGAUAUAAUAAUUUUAUAUAUGUCAAUAUGCAUUUAUAUUCAGUGACAAUUUAAAUUGACAGAGUGUAGAAAGCUAUCCAAUACAAGUGUGGGAAGCUAUAAGUGACAACAUGUAAAAUGUAUUUCUAUAUUUGGGGGGGGGGGAAAGCAUGAAUGAAAACAAUAUUUAUUUUAAAAAUUGGCAUAGUCUUUGAAAGAAUGAUUUUUCAAAUUCAGUGGAACUUCUUAAUAGUGCAUAGUAGUACAUUUUAUAGCUUUCUCCAUACUGUCCACUGCAGUAUAGAUGAAUAAAGAUUGAAAUGAUAAUUAACUGAUUUAACUGUUUAUUUUAUCUUUCCAUAUUCCUGUUAUUUAUCAGUGAAAUGUUUUCUUUAAAAAAAUUCAUCUUAAUUGUAAUAAAGCAAUGCUGAAAAACCUUA